CCUACGGGUGGCUGCAGUGGGGGAUAUUGGGCAAUGGGCGCAAGCCUGACCCAGCAAUGCCGCGUGAAGGAAGAAGGCUUUCGGGUUGUAAACUUCUUUGACAGGGGAAGAGCAGAAGACGGUACCCUGACAACAAGCCACGGCUAACUACGUGCCAGCAGCCGCGGUAAUACGUAGGUGGCAAGCGUUGUCCGGAUUUACUGGGUGUAAAGGGCGUGUAGCCGGGAAGGCAAGUCAGAGGGGAAAUGUGGGGGCUCAACCCCCAAAUUGCAUUUGAAACUGUUUGUCUUGAGUACUGGAGAGGCAGACGGAAUUCCUGGUGUAGCGGUGAAAUGCGUAGAUAUAAGGAGGAACACCAGUGGCGAAGGCGGUUUGCUGGACAGCAACUGACGGUGAGGCGCGAAAGCGUGGGGAGCAAACAGGAUUAGAUACCCCAGUAGUC
rnacentral:rRNA from 1 species